ensembl:lncRNA
CUAAAGUGUUUUAUUCCCCUUAUAAUACAGCAAUUUACCAACAAUCGCAAGUUUUAUUUAUUAAAGAAUGACAUGUAAUGCCUUUUAGCCAUUUAUAGUUACAUUUAAUGUUCGGAUGCCUGCAAAACAUCUUAUAGCAGCUAUAAAACAGGUGGAAUAAGUGUUUUGUUGCUCAUUGCAGGCCACAGCCGAACUCGAACUCUGAAAACAAUGCCGUGGGUAUGUACCGUAUUUAAACAAUACACUUCCCGUAAACAGGUGCCGAGCGGAAUUAACACGCCCAGAACUCUGCUUUAACUAGAAAACCAGCAUGAGCAACUCGAUUUUUUUUCAACAAACAAGACAUGCUGAACUUUUCUUUUCACUUGGACUUGUAUAGUGUCUCACAGAUCUCAAGGUCCCUUUCCAGAACCUUCAGACUAACUGUCCUCGGGGGUGGAAUGUAAUGGAGCUUAUAAAGCAAGAUUCAGGCGCAUGAAGCAAGCUGAUUUCUGUACCAAGAAAGAAAAGCACCAUCACAUGACCUCUACCCAGAGAGAAAACGAGCUUCCUGUGCAGACAGAGGAAGGAGAUGUACCAGGAAUCAUACAGAGGACACAGGAAUCUCAUUAUGGCCGACAUGAGACACGAACAUCAGCCACAACAAAUGCUAACUCACAACUGGCACUAUGGUCAGCUGGAGAUGGACACGUCAUUCCACUUUACCCGGAGAAUUCCAGCCUUUCCAUGAGACCGAGACAGAUCCAUGAGUGCUGGACUAACCCUACAGAGCAUCUCCAGGCCUGGACACCACGCCUGCACAUUUUCCAUCGACCGCUCACUGAGUACCACGCCCAUACUGAGGACUUCAGCUUAAACAGCAUGGCUGAGGGUCGAAGCUGGAAAGCUGGAAUGGUGCGCUCCAUCACCAGCG